UACGAAGGGGGCAAGCGUUGUUCGGAAUUACUGGGCGUAAAGCGCACGCAGGCGGCGAUCCAAGUCAGAAGUGAAAGCCCUGGGCUCAACCCGGGAACUGCUUUUGAUACUGGGUUGCUAGAAUCACGGAGAGGGUAGGGGAAUUCCGAGUGUAGAGGUGAAAUUCGUAGAUAUUCGGAAGAACACCAGUGGCGAAGGCGCCUACCUGGCCGUCGAUUGACGCUCAUGUGCGAAAGCGUGGGGAGCAAACAGG
rnacentral:rRNA from 1 species